GAAGGCUUGAAUGAAGGGUUGGACGAGGGGUAAGCUGUCUCCAUUGCAUGGCUUGAAUUUAACUUUUGAGUGAAAAGGCUCAAAUUGUUUAGUGGGACGAUAAGACCCUAUAAAACUUAAUAUAGGUUUAACUUGAUUCGCAAUUAUGGGUGAAAAGGUGUUUUGUUCUGCCUAUAUUUUGUUGGGGAGAUGUAGAUAUAAUGUGUAACUGUCUGUUGAAUUUAAUAGUUAUGAUUAGUGUGUGAUCCUUCAUUGAGGAUUAGGAGAAUAAGUUACUUUAGGGAUAACAGCGUGAUUUUCUUUGAGAGUUCUUAUCGACAAGAGUAGUUGCGACCUCGAUGUUGAAUUAAAGUUUCAGCUAGGUGUAGCCGUUUAGCUGGUGGGUCUGUUCGACCUUUAAAA
rnacentral:rRNA from 1 species